rnacentral:lncRNA from 1 species
UCAAGGACUGAAAUGAAUCAUCUAUGCUACUAAGUCACCCUGGCCAGUCCCAAACUUUCCUGGGUAGAAUCAAUAUAUGUGCAAACAUGAGAUGGAGCAUCAGUGGAUGGGAAGGAGAGCAAGGUGGAGGCUGCAGCCUGAGGAGGGGGGGGUCUAGAGAGAGAGUGAGAGGACCAGCCAGAAGCGACCAGCCACCCAUACCCACAGGUAAUAUGUGUCUUCUCAGUACUCUGUUGAUUCAGGCAUCUGAUUCACAAGCAUGCCUGGAUUCUCUGAGCACCAAACACACUGUCGCUUCCCCUAACCCUACCACAGAGCAGAUGAAGAAACUAAGGUGCUUAUCAGAGCCCCCAAGCAGGACACAAGCUACCGUCAUUCUGUCCUCACAGACCUGCUCUUCACCAGCAGAAUCAGAGGCCCAUUUGGUGUCAGCACUAGGGCCAGGCCGAGACAAAACAGCUGGGUCAUUUCAGGGGAGCCAGGCACUGGAUCUUUCCAUGACCCCAAGGACUGCUGUGUGGUGCUGGGCCAUGAAUUGUGAUGUCAGACUUAUCUGAGUUCAAAUCCUCUCCUUGAUGCUUGUUAAAUAUCCAUGUGUUUUUAAGCAGCUACUUUACCAUCUUCCAUACCCAUUUGGAAAUAAAGACUAUAACUGUCAACUCUGGUAUUGUUUUGUUCUAGACAAAGUCUCUCCAUGUAGUCAGAACAUGCUUCCAAUUCUAUCUGCAUGUAUGGUAUAUGCCUGUAUGCAUGA